CAGUUCAGACGGCUUGAGUGAGAUGUGUAAUGCUACUAUGAUAGCACAUUGCGAAUCAUACGGGUUGCAAGUCCCUCAAGCAGAGCACACG
rnacentral:ribozyme from 1 species